AGGUUAGGCUGGGCGGGCUCGGGCACCCCCGGGCGCGCGCUCUUAAAGGGACCGUGCCCCGCUCUCGCCGGGCCAAACCCGAGCCGCGGGCGGGCGCUCCCCGGGACUGAUGCCCGGGACCGACCCCGGUCCCCGUGGGGCGCCCACCCCUCCCGACACCUCGCUCCCGAUCGGGGGGUCGGGGUCGGAAGAGAGGAUAACACCCGAGCGGGCUGGGAAAGCUUCUCCCGCGGCAAUUACACAACUGCCGCUUGCUCCACUUAUGGGAUAAAAUUAGCUGUGGGUUUGGAGCCCAUCCGCGCUUUAAGGGUGACUGGAGUUACCCUGGGAGGCCGAGAACACUAUAUAAAUUAGUAACCCCGGCUAAAAAUACAUCGGUCGCCGGUUCCAAAGACUUCCACCCAUUUAAAGCAUGAGUCAGCAGGAGCUCCGCAGGAAGUGACUGUCUCCAUCCCACAAGGGUAGAGUUUGGCACAGUUAAGAUGUGAGCACAGAACCUUAGAAGAGUGAAAGAAACUCGGCACGCUCUUUGCUCCCUGUAACUCUUACGCAAUGACACCUAUUAUAGGACAAGCCUGGACAAACACUCGGGAAUGGACUUCAGAACACAACGGUGCACUUGAAGUCAAUCCAUGCAGGGGGUGAAGUAACUACCAUGGUUCUGCUGAAUGCCUCCACAUUACACCAGCACGUAUGGUGGAAGUUUCUGUAUUUCGUUGUUGUUGCUGUUGUUAUUAGCAGUAAGGUACUUUGACCCUGUUCUAAGCCUUAUCCUAACAGGAUGAACUGGAGUUUCAACUACCCAGGCCUACUGGAAAUUGGGCCCAGCAGUUAUUUGGCAGUGGUCUUCAUGAGCAGCAAUGCCAGCUUUCCAUUGCAAUGCCCACAUUCAGAGAUUUGCAGAAUUAGAGUCCAAAUUCUGCUUGUAUGUGCGAGUCCAGAAUGCCACUGACUUCAAGGGGGUUGUAAGAUUUUAGCCAAGAGCAAAAAUUGGCCCAGGAUUUUUUCAGACUCCCUCAUGCUUCUGUUUAUAUGAUAUUACCAUCAAGCUCUAUUAGCAUGCUCCAUGAUGCAUUUUACUUUUAAAUUACAUAAAGGAUAUUUACUGUGCUGAUGCUACAUAGUUUGCAAGAAAGAUGCACAUAUGGAAAUGAAAAAACAUCAAUUACCAUCAGGAUUUCUAGCUUUCAGCAUUCAUUUUCCAAAACAACCCAGAGACUAUUUCUCAUUUAAAAAAAAAAAAAAA